AUGCGUCCUCUCCGCUCCUCCCCCUACCCCCAGAAAACCCCAAAUUACACCGACCCGUUACCCCCGAGCUCUGGCCCUCCCGGACACGUUUCGCAGUACUUUUCCUUCCCGGAAAGCCAGCCGGAGCAUUUUGCCACCGCCACAAAGUCACACUUUGCCACGGCCACUUAUCCCAUCCGCCUUUUAUUUGUUUGCGGACUUCCCCGCACGGCCAGCGCCUCCUCCGCCAAGCAUUUCGCCUUCGUCCCCGCGCCGAAAUCCCCGCCAGCGGCUCCAGCCACCCUCGGAUGCAGGUUCUGGCUCACAGGAGCCCCUGCGACUUUGACAGCUGUCGCUUUGGCUGCACGGGAGACGAAUCGCCCUCCUUUUGGUGCCAGAAGAAGCAGGAAAUUAGCCAGGUUGCAAGUUGAAAAUCUGCCACGCCAGUGCUUUGAAUCCAAUAUGCCACACCUUCCAGCGGGGGAACUGGAAAUUGCCAUCCCGGAUCUGUGUUCUAGGCGGCUGCUUAUGCCGAACCUCCGCACACUUUGUUCACUAUUGCCUUACAAAGAACAAAUGAAAUGGGGAUUGAAAGCCAGAGAGAUCCGAAGCAGGACAGAGCUCAGCAAAAGAAUGCGGCUCUAUUCUCGCAAGGGAAAUUAUAAAAAAGUUCAUGUUCACGGUUACCAUCCACAUGACCGACAACGACCAAUGGAAAAACCGAACAACUCAUAAAGUUGUAUUGCAAAGUUGUAAAUUUUCAUAAACAACAACGGAUUUAUGGCCUUUUCCUCAUCACUAAGAAGAGGCAGGUCUUAGAGAGGCGCCAUCUUACCACAGAGGCAGCUCUGGAGUUUUUUAAAAGACCUGGAGUUUGCACUAAUUUUAUUAAAAUUACAAUUAGUACGUUGACCAGGAACUGAGCGCAGCAGAAAAAAGGAACUUCCGCGCAAAUUAUGCUCUCCUUCUACCUGUAUUUAUCCGGCCGAAUAAAGGGACUUUUCGGGCUUUUUUUUUUUUCUUU
rnacentral:lncRNA from 1 species